rnacentral:rRNA from 1 species
UACAGAGGUCUCAAGCGUUGUUCGGAUUCAUUGGGCGUAAAGGGUGCGUAGGCGGCGGGGCAAGUCGGAUGUGAAAUCUCAGGGCUCAACCCUGAAACUGCAUUCGAUACUGCCGUGCUUGAGGACUGGAGAGGAGACUGGAAUUUACGGUGUAGCGGUGAAAUGCGUAGAUAUCGUAAGGAAGACCAGUGGCGAAGGCGGGUCUCUGGACGGCAACUGACGCUGAGGCACGAAAGCGUGGGGAGCAAACAGG